rnacentral:rRNA from 1 species
AUGGAGACGGGAAGCAGCGGCGGCCGGAGGCUGCCGAAGACGGAGUCGGCGGAGAUGCGGUGGGUGGUCCCCGGCGGCGCUUAUGAAGAGGAUGAGAUCGAUAGCUCGGACGACGGCGACGGCGGCACAGACACUCCCACGGCCGCCCUGGGCUCCCGUGGCGGUGGAGGCGGCUACUCGGACGCUGAAGAGGAUGAGGAGGACGCGCUGCUGCGCCAGCGCCUGGUGCGCACCGGCCCGCGCGCCGACUCCUUCGACGUCGAAGCUCUCGAUGUCCCCGGUCUGUACCGCCACCAGGAAUUUACCAUGGGAAGGAGUAUUGUUUUGGCCCUUCAGACGUUAGGCGUUGUCUUUGGGGAUGUUGGCACCAGCCCACUAUACACUUUCGAUAUAAUGUUCAACAAAUACCCCAAUACUUCGAAGGAGGAUGUGCUUGGAGCACUCUCACUUGUAAUAUACACUCUGAUUCUAAUUCCAUUGCUGAAGUAUACUCUGAUUGUUUUAUGGGGAAAUGAUGAUGGAGAAGGAGGGAUAUUUGCUUUAUACUCUCUAAUAUGCAGGAAUGCAAAGGCUAGUCUGCUCCCUAACCAACUGCCCUCUGACACCCGCAUAUCAAGUUUCCAACUCAAGGUACCAUCGGUCGAACUCGAGAGGUCUCUGAGGAUCAAGGAGCGCCUCGAGACUUCAUCUAUGCUAAAGAAGCUACUUUUGAUGCUUGUUCUUUUUGGUACUUCUAUGGUGAUAGCGGAUGGUGUUGUUACACCAGCGAUGUCAGUGAUGUCUGCUGUUAAUGGCUUGAAGGUUGGAAUAUCUAGUGUUAACGAAGGUGAAGUGGUCAUGAUAAGUGUUGCAUUUCUCAUUGUUCUAUUCAGUCUGCAAAGGUUUGGAACAAGUAAAGUUGGGCUUGCUGUUGGACCUGCCUUGUUCAUAUGGUUUUGCUGCCUUUCUGGGAUAGGAAUAUAUAACAUUAUGCAAUAUGGUACAGAAGUAUUACGUGCAUUCAAUCCUAUAUACAUCUACUACUAUUUUGAAAGAAACCCAACUCAAGCUUGGAUGUCUCUUGGGGGCUGCCUUUUAUGUGCAACAGGAUCCGAGGCAAUGUUUGCUGAUCUAUGCUACUUCUCUGUUAGAUCUGUCCAGCUUACCUUUGUGUGUCUUGUUCUUCCAUGCCUUCUACUGGGUUACCUAGGGCAAGCUGCAUUUCUUAUGGAAAACUUGACUCAAAAUGAGCAGGUCUUCUUUUUAUCUAUCCCGAGUCAGGUGUUUUGGCCAGUGGUGUUCAUAGCUACUCUGGCAGCACUAAUUGCUAGUCGUACAAUGACAACUGCUAUUUUCUCAAUCAUUAAGCAGGCCACAGCUCUUGGCUGUUUUCCCCGCCUCAAGAUUAUUCACACUUCAAGAAAGUUCAUGGGUCAAAUAUACAUCCCAGUGAUGAACUGGUUUUUGCUAGUUUCCUGUCUCGCGUUUGUUACGACAUUUGGGAGCAUUAAUGAGAUUGGCAAUGCAUAUGGUAUAGCUGAACUUGGGGUCAUGAUGAUGACUACUAUAUUGGUGACCAUCAUAAUGCUUCUGAUUUGGCAGGUCAACAUCAUUGUCGUUCUAUGCUUUCUCACCCUCUUCCUGGGCCUGGAGCUAUUUUUCUUUUCUUCUGUAUUGGGCAGUGUAGCAGAUGGCAGUUGGGUUCUUUUGGUAUUUGCGGCUGUACUGUAUCUGGUAAUGUACAUAUGGAACUAUGGGACCAAGUUGAAGUACGAAACUGAGGUUAAGCAAAAACUUUCGAUGGAUCUAAUGAUGGAUCUAGGCUGCAAUCUCGGUACAGUCAGAGCGCCUGGAAUUGGAUUGCUUUAUAAUGAACUGGUGAGGGGGGUUCCUGCAAUCUUUGGUCACUUCCUGACCACAAUGCCAGCCAUUCAUUCGAUGAUCAUUUUUGUCUGCAUCAAGUGGGUUCCUGUUCCUGUCGUUCCUCAGAAUGAAAGGUUUCUCUUUCGCCGGGUCUGCCCAAAGAACUACCAUAUGUUUCGCUGCAUUGCUAGGUAUGGGUACAAAGAUGUACGCAAGGAGAACCCCCAAACAUUUGAACAGCUUCUGAUAGAAAGUCUAGAGAAAUUUAUACGGCGAGAAGCUCAAGAGCGCUCCCUGGAGAGUGACGAGAAUGGUAACACGGACUCUGAAGAGGAGGUUGCGUCAAGCUCAUCAAGAGUUCUUGUUGGUCCAAAUGGUAGCAUCUACUCUCUUGGUGUUCCACUCCUUGCGGAGUGUGGUGGUGUUUCAAAUCCAAACUUUGGAUCAAGCACAUCAUUUGAUGGAUCUCUGGACGGGACAAUGGAUGGAAGGCGAAGCCUGGACAAUGAGCUGUCUUUCAUUCACAUGGCCAAGGAGUGUGGCGUGGUUUACCUUCUUGGACAUGGCGACAUCCGAGCUCGGAAGGAGUCAUUCUUUGUCAAGAAGCUAGUGAUCAACUAUUUCUACGCGUUCCUGAGGAAGAACUGCCGGAGAGGCAUAGCAACGUUGAGCAUACCGCACACAAGGCUGAUGCAGGUCGCAAUGCAAUACAUGGUGUAG